UACGGAGGGGGCAAGUGUUACUCAUCAUGACUAGGCGUAAAGGGUACUAAGAUAACUAAAGUUUGUAUUAAUAAAAAUAUCAGUUGAAUUAUUGAAAGGUAUUAAUAGACAAUUUCAGUUUGAGUUUUUUAGAGAAUUGAUUUACUGUUUUUUAAGGGGUAGAAUCCAACGAGAAGAUCAGGAGAAACAAUGGCGAAAGCAUCAAUUUACAUUUAACUAACAUUGAAGUACUAAAGCAUGGGGAGCAAACAGG
rnacentral:rRNA from 1 species